GCUCCCAUGGCGUAGUUGUCACUGCGCUCGCCUUGGACGCGGGAGACCCGGGUUCAAUUCCCGACGGGGUCA
rfam:Asian citrus Psyllid, Diaphorina citri - Florida Strain, whole genome shotgun sequence.